GCUGGAUGGCAGGAUAACAGCGGCGGAGAAGACAUUGACAAACCUGAGAACAUUGAGGUGGCUCCCCAGAUUCCAGCAGUCUCUUGAUUGUGGAGACGCUGCCAGACUACACAGUAAUUCUGCGCUAAGAAUCCAAUGCUGACAACAAUGAUGAUGCCUUCUGUCGCAGGCAAACAGCACAACAGCGAUUAGAAGAAGACCAGCAAUCCAUUGAGGGAGCCAGGACCAGCUUGCGAGGUUUGCAGCAGGAUAUAGAGCGAGAAUUGUCAGCCAUGAGGCUUGCAGAGCAGAAUGCCCAAGCAGCAAGGCAAAGAGCAGAUGCUGCCAGGAAGGAAGCAAAUCCCCUGAAUCAUCCAAUCGUGCAGCGCUACCUUCACCAGAAGUAAUGGAGGAGGGUGUGGUGUGGUGUGGUGUAGAGCUGAAUUUUAUGGCAGUGAUCCUAUAGUUUCUCCCCACAGUACUAUCCCGUACACCAAUUGUUGGAGGCAGGCAGCUCUCCUUAGGACUUGUUCUUCAUGAAUUUGAUCUUCGAGGGACUGUCAUAAGCAGCAUCCUUUAUGUAGAGGCUAGCAAACCGCUCGAAUGGAAACCUUUAUGAUGCCAGCACUAUGAUCAGCCGCAUCCAUUCGCAUGCGCAGCUGUCUUGGAGCACUAGAGUACUCUGUGUCUGACGAUAAGAUCUUUUAGAAU
rnacentral:lncRNA from 1 species